ACRGGGCAAUUGCCUCAGUAACGGCGAGUGAAGCGGCAAAAGCUCAAAUUUGAAAUCUAGCACCUUCGGUGUUCGAGUUGUAAUUUGAAGAUGGUAACCUUGGGUUUGGCUCUUGUCUAUGUUCCUUGGAACAGGACGUCAUAGAGGGUGAGAAUCCCGUCUGAUGAGAUGCCCAUUCCUAUGUAAGGUGCUAUCGAAGAGUCGAGUUGUUUGGGAAUGCAGCUCUAAGUGGGUGGUAAAUUCCAUCUAAAGCUAAAUAUUGGCGAGAGACCGAUAGCGAACAAGUACAGUGAUGGAAAGAUGAAAAGAACUUUGAAAAGAGAGUGAAAAAGUACGUGAAAUUGUUGAAAGGGAAGGGCAUUAGAUCAGACUUGGUGUUUUACGAUUAUCUUCUCUUCUUGAGUUGUGCACUCGUAUUUCACUGGGCCAGCAUCGAUUCGGAUGGCAAGAUAAUGGCAGUUGAAUGUGGCUUCACUUCGGUGGAGUGUUAUAGCUUCUGCUGAUAUUGCCUGUCUGGAUCGAGGGCUGCGUCUUUUGACUAGGAUGCUGGCGUAAUGAUCUAAUGCCGCCCGUCUUAAAMMMMGGAMCACA
rnacentral:rRNA from 1 species